ensembl:lncRNA
GUCUGUAGGGGAAGGUGUCUGUAGGGGAUGGUGUCUGUAAGGGAAGGUGUCUGUAGGGGAAGGUGUCUGUAGGGGAAGAUGUCUGUAGGGGGACGUGUGUGUCUGUAGGGGAACGUGUGUGUCUGUAGGGGAAUGUGUCUGUCUGUAAGGGAAGGUGUCUGUCUGUAGGGGAAGGUGUGUGUCUGUAGGGGAAGGUGUGUGUCUGUAGGGGAAGGUGUCUGUCUGUAGAGGAAGGUGUCUGUAGGGGAAGGUGUCUGUCUGUAGGUGAAGAUGGCUGUAGGGGAAGGUGUGUGUCUGUAGGGGAAAAUGUGUGUCUGUAGGGGAAGGUGUCUGUCUGUAGUUGAAGAUGUAUGUAGGGAAAGGUGUCUGUCGGAAGGGGAAGGUGUGUGUCUACAGGGGAAGGUGUGUGUCUGUAGGGGAAGGUGUGUGUCUAUAGGGGAAGGUGUGUGUCUGUGGGGGAAGGUGUGUGUCUGUAGGGGAAGGUGUGUGUCUGUGGGGAAGGUGUCUGUCUGUAGAGGAAGGUGUCUGUAGGGGAAGGUGUCUGUCUGUAGGGGAAGGUGUCUGUAGGGGAAGGUGUCUGUCUGUAGGGGAAGGUGUCUGUCUGUAGGGGAAGGUGUGUGUCUGUAGGGGAAGGUGUGUGUCUGUAGGGGAAGGUGUGUGUAAGUCAGGUGAGUAAUGUGAGUGGCAGCUAGCCUAUCUCUCCUCCUCCUCUGUGGUAGCUACAUCACCAUUAUCCCUCCUCUCCUCCCCCUCUGUGGUAGCUACAACACCAUUAUCCCUCCUCUCCUCCCCCUCUGAAGUAGCUACAACAUCAUUAUCCCUGCUCUCCUCCCCCUCUGUGGUAGCUACAACAUAAUUUUGCCUCCUCUCCUCCUCCUCUGAAGUAGCUACAACAUCAUUAUCCCUGCUCUCCUCCCCCUCUGUGGUAGCUACAACAUCAUUAUCCCUCCUCUCCUCCUCCUCUGUGGUAGCUACAACAUCAUUUUGCCUCCUCUCCUCCCCC